AGCAGCCGCGGUAAUUCCAGCUCCAAUAGCGUAUAUUAAAGUUGUUGCAGUUAAAAAGCUCGUAGUUGAAUUUCGAGACCGGCUUACUGGUCGUGCUUUUAUACGUACUGGUAUAAUCGGUUUCUCCUUUCUGACGAACUUUAAUGCCAUUAAUUUGGUGUUUUAGGGAAUCAGGACUGUUACUUUGAAAAAAUUAGAGUGUUUAAAGCAGGCUCACGCUUGAAUACAUUAGCAUGGAAUAACGGAAUAGGACGUUUGAUUCUAUUUUGUUGGUUUCUAGGAUCGACGUAAUGAUUAAUAGGGAUAGUUGGGGGCAUUAGUAUUCAAUUGUCAGAGGUGAAAUUCUUGGAUUUAUUGAAGACUAACUACUGCGAAAGCAUUUGCCAAGGAUGUUUUCAUUAAUCAAGAACGAAAGUUAGGGGAUCGAAGACGAUCAGAUACCGUCGUAGUCUUAACCAUAAACUAUGCCGACUAGGGAUCGGAUGAUGUUAAUUUUUAAUGACUCAUUCGGCGCCUUACG
rnacentral:rRNA from 1 species